rnacentral:rRNA from 1 species
AAGGUUUCCGUAGGUGAACCUGCGGAAGGAUCAUUAUUGAACAAACUGGUGUUGGCUGAGCUGGCCUUUUCGGAGGCAUGUGCACGGCCCGCCAUUGUUUCAUCCUUCUCUUCCACCUGUGCACUUCUGUGGGCCCACUCCAGUACACUUUGUGCGCUGGAAUCUGGUGCCUACGUUUUACUACCUACACCAUUGAAUGUUUAGAACGCAUGAAUAGGGCAUUCUUGCCCAUAAAAACCUUAUACAACUUUCAACAACGGAUCUCUUGGCUCUCGCAUCGAUGAAGAACGCAGCGAAAUGCGAUAAGUAAUGUGAAUUGCAGAAUUCAGUGAAUCAUCGAAUCUUUGAACGCACCUUGCGCUCCUUGGCAUUCCGAGGAGCAUGCCUGUUUGAGUGUCAUUAAAUCAUCAACCACCUCAUCAUUGAGAGGGUUGGACUUGGAGGUUCUGCUGGCCCUAUCCGGGACCGGCUCCUCUGAAAAGCAUUAGCAGGGGCUCAUCUUGUGCGAUCUGCAGCCUUGUGUGAUAGUAUCUACACUCGGCGCGGUCACAUUCACCCAGCUUCUAGCCGUCCGCUUGGACAACACAAUUGACCACUUGGCCUCAAAUCAGGUAGGAUUACCCGCUGAACUUAAGCAUA